UGGGGAAUAUUGGACAAUGGGGGGAACCCUGAUCCAGCCAUGCCGCGUGUGUGAAGAAGGCCUUACGGUUGUAAAGCACUUUAAGCGAGGAGGAGGCUCUCUUGGUUAAUACCCAAGAAGAGUGGACGUUACUCGCAGAAUAAGCACCGGCUAACUCUGUGCCAGCAGCCGCGGUAAUACAGAGGGUGCGAGCGUUAAUCGGAUUUACUGGGCGUAAAGCGUGCGUAGGCGGCUUUUUAAGUCGGAUGUGAAAUCCCCGAGCUUAACUUGGGAAUUGCAUUCGAUACUGGGAAGCUAGAGUAUGGGAGAGGAUGGUAGAAUUCCAGGUGUAGCGGUGAAAUGCGUAGAGAUCUGGAGGAAUACCGAUGGCGAAGGCAGCCAUCUGGCCUAAUACUGACGCUGAGGUACGAAAGCAUGGGGAGCAAACAGG
rnacentral:rRNA from 1 species